UACGUUAGUAAUUUUUAUAAAUUUAUAAUAUAUUGAUAUUUUGUAUUUCAGUUAAUCAAUCAGGUCGGUAUUCAGACAUUGGUAUUAAUGCAAAUUAGUUAUCUUUAUUGACCAUAUUCUAAAUGCUACCAGAACAUAGAGUUGUGUGAAGAAUGAAACUGGAAUUGUCAAAACGUUUUUUUACAUAACACAAAGUAAAUCGAGGAAUUAUUUCUUGUAACAGCGUCACAAUGCCGAGCUGCAAUUUUUUCGUCACAAUGCUCUCGAUUCUAGUAGUUUUUUUCCUGUACAUUAUGUUUUUCCUGUUAACAUUGGAUUCAUGCCAGUCAUCUAUCUAAGUUUUGUCUGGAAAAAAAUAUUUGACUUGAAUUAACGUAGCUUAACGUUUCAAAUCGGAAAUAGAUUGAGGAAGGACAGAUAAUCCGGUGGGCACCAGUAGAAAUGUAUAAGCUUGCAAUUUAUAAAUUUUCAGCCCAUCUAAUAAACGUUGGAACAAGAUGUUAUGUUUAAAUUCAUGUCAGAUGUGUAUUUUAUUUAAAUUUUUUAUCUGAAAUCCUAAAUUUUUCUUUCGUUACUAAUGCUUAGUAUUGUAAUGUACCGUUUGGACUUCACUGAAGUGAUCUGGUCUAAAAAUUUCACAUUAUACUACAAGCCAACCAAUGCUGUAUGUCAUCUGGCUAGAUAACCGUUAUAAUACUAAUAAAUUAUGAAACAAUAUGGUACUAGAGAGAAUCGUAAGGCGCC